rnacentral:ncRNA from 1 species
GUCACGGUGGCCGCUUGAAUUACAAUUCCGAUCGAGCGGCGAGCUGAAUCCUUUGCAGACGACUUAAAUACGCGACGGGGUAUUGUAAGGGGUAGAGUGGCCUUGCUGCCACGAUCCUCUGAGAUUCAGCCUUUGUCGCUCCGAUUCGU